AAUAUUGCUCAAUGGGAGAAAUCCUGAAGCAGCCCCGCCGCGUGGAGGAUGAAGGGUCUAUGACUUGUAAACUCCUGUAAAGAAGGAAAAAAUUCCCAUUUGAUGGGAGAUGAUGGUACUUCUGGAGUAAGCCCCGGCUAACUACGUGCCAGCAGCCGCGGUAAUACGUAGGGGGCAAGCGUUGUCCGGAUUUACUGGGUGUAAAGGGUGCUCAGGCGGAUUUGUAAGUCAGAGGUGAAAUCUUACAGCUUAACUGUGAAACUGGCUUUGAUACUGCAAGCCUAGAGUAUGGAAGAGAGUGAUGGAAUAUCUGGUGUAGCAGUGAAAUGCGUAGAUAUCAGGAGGAACACCGGUGGCGAAGGCGGCCGUCUGGACGGCUACUGGCGCUGAGACGCGAAAGCGUGGGGAGCAAACA
rnacentral:rRNA from 1 species